AAUCAACGCUGGCGGCGUGCCUCAGACAUGCAAGUCGAACGCGAAAGUUUCCUUCGGGAAGCGAGUAGAGUGGCGCACGGGUGAGUAACACGUAAGUAAUCUACCUCGGGGUGGGGAAUAACAUCGGGAAACCGAUGCUAAUACCGCAUAAUGCAGCGGCUUCUUAUGAAGACAGUUGUUAAAGCAUUUAUGUGCCUGGAGAGGAGCUUGCGGCAGAUUAGCAGUUGGUAAGGUAAUGGCUUACCAAGGCAACGAUCUGUAGCCGACCUGAGAGGGUGGUCGGUCACACUGACACUGAAUAACGGGUCAGACUCCUACGGGGAGGCAGCAGUCGGGAAUUUUGGGCAAUGGGCGCAAGCCUGACCCA
rnacentral:rRNA from 1 species